UGGGGAAUAUUGCACAAUGGAGGGAACUCUGAUGCAGCGACGCCGCGUGAACGAAGAAGGCUUUCGAGUCGUAAAGUUCUUUUAUACGGGAAGAUAAUGACGGUACCAUAAGAAAAAGCCCCGGCUAACUACGUGCCAGCAGCCGCGGUAAUACGUAGGGGGCUAGCGUUGUCCGGAAUCACUGGGCGUAAAGGGUUCGCAGGCGGAAAUGCAAGUCAGGUGUAAAAGGCAGUAGCUUAACUACUGUAAGCAUUUGAAACUGCAUAUCUUGAGAAGAGUAGAGGUAAGUGGAAUUUUUAGUGUAGCGGUGAAAUGCGUAGAUAUUAAAAAGAAUACCGGUGGCGAAGGCGGCUUACUGGGCUCAUUCUGACGCUGAGGAACGAAAGCGUGGGUAGCAAACAGG
rnacentral:rRNA from 1 species